AUGUAUCCCACAGAUUCCAUCGUAAUGGAGGGUGAUUGGAACAUGACUUUGGAUGAAUGGGAAGAUAGAUCACCCUCAAGGUUUCAAAGUCAGCAGUUUAAUUGUCUUAUGGUCGAAUUUAUCAGGGAUAAUUAUCUGAUGGAUAUUUGGAGGGAUAAGAACCCAGGGAAGAAAAUGUUCUCUUGGUAUAAACCCAACGGAACCGCAAAAUCGAGAAUUGACUACUGGCUGGUUAGGCAGUCAUUGGAAAGAUUUGUCUCUGAUACUGUAAUCUCCAAAGCUCCAUUAACAGAUUACUGUGUAAUUGAAAUAACAUUGAAUUCAAAGAAUAGGAAUAAUAAAAGUAAGGGCUAUUGGAAAUUCAAUGCUAAUCUCCUAAAUGAUAAAGAAUACUGUGGGAAAAUAAAAGGAAUAAUAUCAGCAAUAGUGAAGGAUGAUAAAAUAGAGAGCUUUUGCAGCAAUUGGGAAUAUGUAAGGUUUACGAUCAGAGAAUAUUCGAUUAUAAAGAGUAAAGAAUUGAACAAAGAAAGAACAAAGCAGGAAUGUGACCUUCUGCAGGAGAUUAGUAGGUGCUGCAACAAAUUAGAAAUGACUAAUGAGGAUAAGGAAAACUUACUAUAUCUACAAGCCAAAUUGGAUGAUUUUUAUAGGAAGAGAGCCCAAGGAGCUUUUGUACGUUCAAGAGCAAAGUGGGUGGAGGAGGGAGAGAAAAACACAACAUAUUUUAAGAAAAUGGAGAAAAGAAGACAGGAAAAUAAAGCCAUCUCAAGCUUGCUGAUUAAUGGUAUAGAAUGCAAGGAUAAUAAAACGAUCGAGAGAGAAGUACUUACAUUUUAUAGUGAGCUUUAUUCCUCAGCCUUUUCCACGAGGGACGCAACUACAUUUUUUAACUUAUUGCAUGAACGAAUUGCCGUCAUUGACACAUUUAAGGAAAUGUGUGAAUCUGAUUUGAAGAUAGAAGAGCUGGAUGCAGUCGUUCUGAAGCUGGCAGUAAACAAAGCCUCGGGUACUGAUGGACUCACGGCUAAUUUCUAUCAUUUAAUUUGGAAAGACAUCAGAAAUCUACUGUUCAAAGCAUUACAGGAAUGUUUAGAGAAGCAAGAACUAACAACCAGCAAGAAACAUUAA
rnacentral:lncRNA from 1 species